AUUGAACGCUGGCGGCAUGCCUUACACAUGCAAGUCGAACGGCAGCACGGGAGCAAUCCUGCCGGCGAGUGGCGAACGGGUGAGUAAUGCAUCGGAACGUGCCCUGUAGUGGGGGAUAACUAGUCGAAAGAUUAGCUAAUACCGCAUACGACCUGAGGGUGAAAGUGGGGGACCGCAAGGCCUUAUGCUAUAGGAGCGGCCGAUGUCUGAUUAGCUAGUUGGUGGGGUAAAGGCCUACCAAGGCGACGAUCAGUAGCUGGUCUGAGUGGACGAUCAGCCACACUGGGACUGAGACACGGCCCAGACUCCUACGGGAGGCAGCAGUGGGGAAUUUUGGACAAUGGGCGGAAGCCUGAUCCAGCAAUGCCGCGUGUGUGAAGAAGGCCUUCGGGUUGUAAAGCACUUUUGUCCGGAAAGAAAUGGCUCUGGUUAAUACCUGGGGUCGAUGACGGUACCGGAAGAAUAAGGACCGGCUAACUACGUGCCAGCCGCCGCCGUAA
rnacentral:rRNA from 1 species